UCUAAACAGGUACCUCAAGUAACCUUGGCACUCCAGACACAAGCACCCAUCACCAAGCUCCACUUCAAUAGCAGGAAAGAACACCCCACACACUGGCCGCUCUUCCACAGGUACAGGAUUCACUCCGUUCUGCACAGACCAGGAGGAAGGCUCACUCCAUGCUGAAGAUACUCCCAGCUGUUCCUCUAUGGGCUUGUUCCAGGCAGGCUCCACGAUAUACAGUUAACCCAACAGGGGAAGGGAAGGUGUUCCUAGUAUGGAGCUGGUCCCAUAAAGGACACUGCCACUUCUGUCCUCCUGCCUCUCAAGCCAGUGGCAGCAUCACACAUCCAUCAUGGAUGCUUUUCAAUAAAGGCUGCAAUUUUG